rnacentral:misc_RNA from 1 species
UCUUUUCCGUUGAGGGGNACUGCGGAAGGAUCAUUACAGUAUUCUAUUGCCAGCGCUUAAUUGCGCGGCGAUAAACCUUACACACUUUGUUUUUUAUUAUUAAAGACACCAUUGCUUUGGUGAGCUAGUGUAAAAGCUGUUCGCCAGAGGUUUACAACAAAACUCUAUGUUUUUCUUUCCUUACGGAAUUUGAAACUAUUUUACUUUAAAAUUUAAAUUGUCAUUAAAAUUUGUCUAGUUAAUUCUAGAAAUACAAAUAUUUAAAACUUUCAACAACGGAUCUCUUGGUUCUCGCAUCGAUGAAGAACGCAGCGAAUUGCGAUAAGUAUUGUGAAUUGCAGAAUUUCGUGAAUCAUCGAAUCUUUGAACGCACAUUGCACCCUCUGGUAUUCCAGAGGGUAUGCCUGUUUGAGCGUCAUUUCUCUCUCAAAGUUUAUAAUUUUGGUGUUGAGUGAUACUCAAGGUUGUUACAACAAUGGGUUUGCUUGAAAAGUAUUGGCAGGAGGGAGUUACUUUUUCAAAGUGCUUACUGUUUAUCUCAAUGUAUUAGGUCUAACCAACUCGUUGAUAUUUAGGCAGUAAGUGCAAGUUUCUCAGCUCGGCCUUACAAUAGCUUACACAAAGUUGACCUCAAAUCAGGUAGGAUCCCCAUUC